AUUGAACGCUGGCGGCAUGCCUUACACAUGCAAGUCGAACGGCAGCGGGGGAGAAGCUUGCUUUUCCUGCCGGCGAGUGGCGAACGGGUGAGUAAUACAUCGGAACGUGCCCUGUAGUGGGGGAUAACUAGUCGAAAGAUUAGCUAAUACCGCAUACGACCUGAGGGUGAAAGUGGGGGACCGCAAGGCCUCAUGCUAUAGGAGCGGCCGAGGUCUGAUUAGCUAGUUGGUGGGGUAAAGGCCCACCAAGGCGACGAUCAGUAGCUGGUCUGAGAGGACGAUCAGCCACACUGGGACUGAGACACGGCCCAGACUCCUACGGGAGGCAGCAGUGGGGAAUUUUGGACAAUGGGCGAAAGCCUGAUCCAGCAAUGCCGCGUGUGUGAAGAAGGCCUUCGGGUUGUAAAGCACUUUUGUCCGGAAAGAAAUGGCUCUGGUUAAUACCUGGGGUCGAUGACGGUACCGGAAGAAUAAGGACCGGCUAACUACGUGCCAGCCGCCGCGGUAACAC
rnacentral:rRNA from 1 species